CAGGCUCAGCUGUUGUACAGUUUCUCCCUACCGACCAUCCGACGCACAGACAGCAGCCAAAAAGCGAGAGAAAACUAGUUAACUAUCACCUUGUUUGUGUUUUAAGUAUAAAGUGUGUGUGCUUUCUCCAAAAACUCCCCCCACCACCACCACCUCUCCUCCUCCUACCAUGUACUGCAUCUAAUUGGAAACACUUCUGAGAUCCAGCAGCUUGCUGACAAACCUAAAAACAACAACCAAUGCACCGACACCCAGCAUGCACUUCAUCACCAUCACGGACAGAGCUCCAGCCUGCCUCCCUGGUUCCCACUGAUCCAUCAUGCUGUCUGAUUGCCAGGAGAAAACCCAUUACUCUGAAACAACACAACACAUUAGCAGUGAGCUGCAGGUGUCUCUUCUCUGUGUUGUGCUCAUUCCUCACCAUCCGUGGAUGCAGAUGUCAUGUUUACAGUGCCCCGCCAGUCAAAUUGCAGAACAGUGGAGCUGAGGCGGAGGUCUCCCACCUGAAAUAUACUCUCAUAUUUGGAUAAACCCAUCAAUUGCUUCAUUUUGUUGGUUGACUGCACAUUAAAGUCUGUUUAAGAGUGUUGAGCUGCAUACUGUGUGAUGAGACAAUGUUUCUAUCUUUCUCACUCUGACUAGUGAUUUAUUAAUGCAGGUCUGUAUGCAGCUAUGCCCCUGCAGACUGCUUCUGUCCCUCAGGCAAAAAGCUCACAGUUGCCCCCUGGUGGUAAUUAAGCAAGAAGUAAGAUUUGGCCAAUAUUUCCUCAAGUCUCCUGACACCAUCCCCAAAAGGGAUAAAUGAUUUUUCAAUUUUUUAAAUCAAGUAGGUCUCCAAAUAUGUCCUUAAGUUAAAUAGGUGGAAGGAUGUAAUGAGCAGGAGGCAAGAGAGGGAAGCCUAAAAAAACCCAAGAUUUUGUGUGUAUCCCUGCUUUAUGAAUGGCAUUUUCACUGCUGGUUCACCCCAGUGGGUAAUUAUCUACAUCCCUCAUAAUUUAAUGUUUUUUUGUGGGUGUUUCCAUGGAGACAGUUAUACUACUCAACCUGUGGGCAGCAUGUAAACAAAUAAAAUAUAUAUAUACAUGUUCAACAAGUUUGUGUAAUGAAUAAAAGCUUUAUUCAAACAUGAAAUAAAAAAAUAGUGACAAAAAAAAAAA